ACCUCUAUGCACAAAGGCAGAGCGUCUGUCUCGUAAACAGAAGGUCUGCGGUUCAAUUCAGCAUGGAUGUA